AGGUGGUCAAUCCUUGGUCUAAGAUCUAGAUCAAGAGAUAUGGUUGGAAGCACAUUCGCGAAAAUACUCGACAAACAUUGCCUAGAGGGGCACAAUUUCCCAUCAUGGUAUCGUAAUGUCAAGAUUCUCCUAACAUUGGAGAAGAUUGUUUACGUACUAGACAAAGCUCCACCUGACAUACCUCUUGGCCCUGAGGCCACAGAGGAUGAACGUGCUAAGUAUGA